rnacentral:lncRNA from 1 species
UUUUGAAAAGCCAUCUGUGUAUGCAGUCACUUUAUCCAUAGCUCCAAAAGUCACUUUCAUUUCGUGGAAGAGAAAGAGUCCAGAGAACAAAGUGGUGCUCUGGUUCCAGCAGAUGACCCGUAUUAAUAGGCAUCUGAAGAGGACCGCACAACAGAGAUUGCUGGUUUAAAUGAACAGUGCCCUGUCUCCGACACAAAGACUUCCAGGAACUUACAGAGGAAUUCGUACACCUCAAUUACUGCACACUUGGCGGAAGUUUUUUGUUGAUCCUAUGGAAAAGAUAUUAUCCGAGUAUAACCAUUAUGAUUGUUUGCUGUUUGCUUAAAACUGGCUGAAAAAUGACAGAUUUAACCGAUUUGACUUUCUUCCCCUGCGUUGAAAGCCUUCCGUUCUACAGGAAUAUUUGAAAACCCGUUCUAUAGCUGAUCUUAUACUCUAUGCAAAGUUUGGUGGGACGAAGUCUAUGUCAUCAGUUGCUUCAAGUUUAGCUCAGUUUGAAGAAAUACAACAGAUGUACUCAAUAUUAUUCUUUUGACUACAAGAAACAGGAAAUUUGACUCUGUGCUUGGUAAAUGUCCCGAAAAUUCAACAGAUUUAAAAAAAAAAAAAGAGUGAUGUUUCAGAUCAUUUCCCAUUUUUUUUCUUUCUGCCAAACUUAGGGUGUUGUCUUUCCACACAAUUGUACAUUCAUAGUUUCAAGGUGGCUGCAGCAGCUCCAGCAUUGCCCAAGAACAAUAACGUUCCAGAGCUAGGAGUGAGGCAGAGCCAGGGGCCAUCACUUUCUCCCAUUUUUUGUUUUUUUAAUUUUUGAAAGUAAGAAAAAUCACUCUGACAUAUUUCAGGAGAUCUUCUUCUUUUAUCACUGGUUAGAAUGGAAUCCUAUGACCAUUUCCAUAUGAAUUAUUAGCAAGGGCCAUGGAAAUACCAACUUUCACAUUAAAAAAUCUACCCUCCAGUGUUGGGAAGGGAGGGGAGGGACCCAACAUCAAUUGAAACACACAGCUACCUGAUAUUUUUUAUUUAACUUUUUUUUUCAGUGCUAGGGAUUGAACCCAGAGCCUUGCUCAUUCUAGACAAGUGCUCUGCCACUGAGCUAUAUACUCCCAGUCUGGCCACCUAAGUCUUUUUUUUUUCUGUAAAAAUUAUAUCUAGGGACAUUUUACUACUGAGCUAUAUACCCAGCCCUUUUAUUUAUUUAUUUAUUUAUUUUUUGAGAGAGGGCCUCACUAAGUCUCUGAGGCUGGCUGUGACAUUGCAACCCUCCUGCCUCAGCCUCCCAAGCUUCUGGGAUUACAGGUUUGCACCACCACCACGCCCAGAUGCUUACCUAAUUCUUGAACCAGUUUUAACAAAGAAGCAGGUCAGGAGAUGGACCUGUAUAGACAACCAGAAGUCUCCAACCCAUUGUAAUUCAACAGGAUGAGAGCUUUAAAAGACGUAUAUACAUGAUCCUACGAAUUUUUGUAAAAUAAUCUGAGAAUAUAUCUUUUGUGUGUGUGAAGUUGAUUAGUGCUGUCUCUGAAUUCAGUCCGAAUUUACAGAAGGCCGAACAAAUCUAAAAUCCUGGCCAGGAUUUUAUCAAAGCAUCAUUCUCUUAAUAACAAAAUUCUCCUUUUCAU